GUGCUUACUUCGGCAGCACAUAUACUAAAACUGGAACGAUACAGAGAUUAGCAUGGCCCCUGCACAAGGAUGACAUGCAAAUUCGUGAAGCGUUCCAUGGUUUU
ensembl:snRNA U6 U6 spliceosomal RNA